GAUGAACGCUGGCGGCGUGCCUAAUACAUGCAAGUCGAGCGAACGGACGAGAAGCUUGCUUCUCUGAUGUUAGCGGCGGACGGGUGAGUAACACGUGGAUAACCUACCUAUAAGACUGGGAUAACUUCGGGAAACCGGAGCUAAUACCGGAUAAUAUUUUGAACCGCAUGGUUCAAAAGUGAAAGACGGUCUUGCUGUCACUUAUAGAUGGAUCCGCGCUGCAUUAGCUAGUUGGUAAGGUAACGGCUUACCAAGGCAACGAUGCAUAGCCGACCUGAGAGCGUGAUCGGCCACACUGGAACUGAGACACGGUCCAGACUCCUGCGGGAGGCAGCAGUAGGGAAUCUUCCGCAAUGGGCGAAAGCCUGACGGAGCAACGCCGCGUGAGUGAUGAAGGUCUUCGGAUCGUAAAACUCUGUUAUUAGGGAAGAACAUAUGUGUAAGUAACUGUGCACAUCUUGACGGUACCUAAUCAGAAAGCCACGGCUAACUACGUG
rnacentral:rRNA from 1 species